AUACAAAUCACCUUGGGGUCUCAUUAAAAUACAGAUUCUGAUUCAGUAGUUCUGGGUGGGGGCCUAAGAUCACAGAAUCCUAACAAGCUCCCAGGUGAUGCAGAU
rnacentral:miRNA from 1 species